rnacentral:tRNA from 1 species
AGCAUCGGCCGGGAAUCGAUCUCGGGGAGCCCGCGUAGCAGGCGAGCAUUCUACCACUGAACCACCGAUGG